rnacentral:rRNA from 1 species
GUGGGGAAUCUUGCGCAAUGGACGAAAGUCUGACGCAGCGACGCCGCGUGGGUGAUGAAGGCCUUCGGGUUGUAAAGCCCUGUGGGGAGAGACGAAUAAGUGUUGGCUAAUAUCCAGCAUGAUGACGGUAUCUCCUUAGCAAGCACCGGCUAACUCUGUGCCAGCAGCCGCGGUAAGACAGAGGGUGCAAACGUUGUUCGGAAUUACUGGGCGUAAAGCGUGUGUAGGCGGUCAGAUAAGUCGGAUGUGAAAGCCCCGGGCUCAACCCGGGAAGUGCAUUCGAUACUGUCUGACUCGAGUAUCGGAGAGGUUGGUGGAAUUCUCGGUGUAGAGGUGAAAUUCGUAGAUAUCGAGAGGAACACCGGUGGCGAAGGCGGCCAACUGGACGAAUACUGACGCUGAGACACGAAAGCGUGGGGAGCAAACAGGAUUAGAAACCCUUGUAGUCC